GCUACUUUACAAGGUACAUGUGUUGUCGAGCCCGGCGAAGGAAAUGCAGGCCACGUUGCAUUGGCAAAGAUAACGCAUUCUGACAGAAUGAACUGAAGCAUGGCUGCGGAGGUUAUUGGACAUCUCUGCCGCUCAGGAAACAACCGGCAUUCCCAGAAUCCUCACGAUGAUGACUGCUGCAGAAAGGAGAAACACCAAGAAGAUAUCCUGAAUGUUUAUGAUGAACAUGGAUUACGUUUCUUGGUAUGGGUAUAUGCCUUCAAGUUCCCUAUCAAUUAUGGAGACCUUGUGGAUUUCAGAUGAUUUUCUUAGGCAAGGAAUGUCCAGAUGUAGUUUUGCCAGUUCCUUCCUCAGAAAUAUAGGACUUUAUCACAUAAGCCUGUAAUUCCAUCACAAUCACAUUGUUUAAGCAAACAGAAGCAUACCAUUACUGGAACUACAUCUUUCACAACUUGGCACAAUUGCACAAUGCUGGCACUGUGUUGAUGCAAAAUCCUAUUAUCAGUUCAUACAGAUAGAUUAGAAGAGAAUUGUUGUCCAUACGGAUGGACUAGAAGACCACUGUUAUCCAUACAGAUGGACGAGAAGAUCAUUGUUAUCUGUACAUAUAGACUAGAAGACAAUUGUUGUCCAUACAGAUAGACUAGAAGACAAUUGUUUUCCAUACGGAUGAACUAGAAGACCAUUGUUAUGCAUACAGAUGGAUGAAAAGAUCAUUGUUAUCCAUAAGGAUAAACUAGAAGACAAUUGUUAUCCAUAUGGAUAAACUAGAAGACAAUUGUUGUUCAUAUGGAUGGACUAGAAGACCAUUGUUAUGCAUACAGAUGGAUGAGAAGAUCAUUGUUAUCCAUACAAAUAAACUAGAAGACAAUUGUUGUCUAUAUGAAUGGACUAGAAGACAGUUGUUAUGCAUACAUAUGGAUGAAAGAUCAUUGUUAUCUAUACAGAUAGAAUAGAAGACAAUUGUUGUCCAUGCGGAUGAACUAGAAGACCAUUGUUAUGCAUACAUAUGGAUGAGAAGAUCAUUGUUAUCUAUACAGAUAGACUAGAAGACAAUUGUUGUCCUUACGGAUGAACUAGAAGACCAUUGUUAUGCAUACAGAUGGAUGAGAAGAUCAUUGUUAUCCAUAAGGAUAAACUAGAAGACAAUUGUUAUCCAUACGGGUGAACUAGAAGAAAAUUGUUGUCUAUAUGGAUGGACUAGAAGACCAUUGUUAUGCAUACAGAUGGAUGAGAAGAUCAAUUCUAUCCAUACAGAUAAACUAGAAGACAAUUGUCUAUAUGGAUGGACUAGAAGACCAUUGUUAUGCAUACAUAUGGAUGAGAAGAUCAUUGUUAUCCAUAAGGAUAAACUAGAAGACAAAUGUUAUCCAUAUGGGUGAACUAGAAGACAAUUGUUGUCCAUACGGAUGAACUAGACCAUUGUUAUGCAUACAUAUGGAUGAGAAGAUCAUUGUUAUCCAUAAGGAUAAACUAGAAGACAAAUGUUAUCCAUAUGGGUGAACUAGAAGACAAUUGUUGUCCAUACGGAUGAACUAGACCAUUGUUCUGCAUACAUAUGGAUGAGAAGAUCAUGGUUAUCCAUAUGGAUAAACUAGAAGACAAUUGUUGUCUAUAUGGAUGUACUAGAAGACCAUUGUAAUGCCUACAUAUAGAUGAGAAGUUCAUUGUUAUCCCUACGGAUAAACUAGAAGACAAUUGUUGUCUAUAUGGAUGGACUAGAAGAGCAUCGUUAUGCAUACAUAUGGAUGAGAAGAUUGUUGUUAUCCAUAAGGAUAAACUAGAAGACAAUUGUUGUCCAUAUGGAUGUACUAGAAAAUCAUUGUUAUCCAUAUGGAUGGACUAGAAGACAAUUGUUGUCCAUACAAUUGACUAGAAAACCAUUGUCAUCCAUACAGAUGGAUUAGAAGAUCACUGUUGUCCAAAUUCCAUUACACUAACUUGAUUCUAAAAGAAGUAGAAAGAAGGAACCUGCUUUAGCAAGUCUGUUUGCUUUCCUCCAUGUGUUGAGAUAUGAGAAACCAUUCAGAACAAUCUGGAUCCACCCAUUUCAUUUUCUAAUAGUUUUCCCAAUUGUGGGCAUGCCAGGGGAAAAUAGCACCCACUCACUGCCGUUUAUAGCCAGACUUUCUCAACUUUGCUUUCACUUGCCUGAAUGUAUGACUCUAGUAAUUGUUCCGGACCUGUGCCUGGAGCAUUGCCCUUCAGUACGUAACACAUUAUAUAUCUCCUAGACUUAUUACUGUUCUCUGUAAUUUGUUUCUCUGCUGCCAUCACAAGAAGAGCCCACGGGGACAAGGACUCAAGGGCGUGAACAACUGCUCCUGGCUUCUUGGUGGCAGUCUCAUAACUUGCCGUUUUGCUCUGAUUUCUUCCUAACUGUGACUAUCCUCAUUCCUGUUACUAUGACACACACAUAUCUCUCUCCCUUCUUGCAAACUGCAUCAGAAAAGUAAAAAGACAAGUGAUGAGG